CUACGGGGGGCUGCAGUGGGGAAUAUUGGACAAUGGGGGAAACCCUGAUCCAGCAAUGCCGCGUGUGUGAAGAAGGCCUGCGGGUUGUAAAGCACUUUCGGUUGGGAGGACUGCUUCUAGCACUAAUAUUGUUGGAAGUUGACGUUACCUUCAGAAGAAGCACCGGCUAACUCCGUGCCAGCAGCCGCGGUAAUACGGAGGGUGCAAGCGUUAAUCGGAAUUACUGGGCGUAAAGCGCGCGUAGGCGGCUAGAUCAGUCGGGUGUGAAAGCCCCGGGCUUAACCUGGGAACUGCAUCCGAUACUGUCUAGCUUGAGUACAGGAGAGGAGAGUGGAAUGCCACAUGUAGCGGUGAAAUGCGUAGAUAUGUGGAGGAACACCAAUGGCGAAGGCAGCUCUCUGGCCUGAUACUGACGCCGAGGUGCGAAAGCGUGGGGAGCAAACAGGAUUAGAUACCCUCGUAGUC
rnacentral:rRNA from 1 species